rnacentral:rRNA from 1 species
AUUGAACGCUGGCGGCAUGCCUUACACAUGCAAGUCGAACGGCAGCACGGGUGCUUGCACCUGGUGGCGAGUGGCGAACGGGUGAGUAAUACAUCGGAACGUACCUUAUCGUGGGGGAUAACGCAGCGAAAGUUGCGCUAAUACCGCAUAAGCCCUGAGGGGGAAAGCGGGGGACCGUAAGGCCUCGCGCGAUUAGAGCGGCCGAUGUCUGAUUAGCUUGUUGGUGAGGUAAAAGCUCACCAAGGCGAUGAUCAGUAGCUGGUCUGAGAGGACGCUCAGCCACACUGGGACUGAGACACGGCCCAGACUCCUACGGGAGGCAGCAGUGGGGAAUUUUGGACAAUGGGGGCAACCCUGAUCCAGCAAUGCCGCGUGAGUGAAGAAGGCCUUCGGGUUGUAAAGCUCUUUUGUCAGGGAAGAAAAAGCAGCUCUAACACAGUCUGCGAAUGACGGUACCUGAAGAAUAAGCACCGGCUAACUACGUGCCAGCCGCCGCGGUAA